rnacentral:rRNA from 1 species
GACGAACGCUGGCGGCGUGCUUAACACAUGCAAGUCGAACGAUGAAGCUGGAGCUUGCUCCGGUGGAUUAGUUGCGAACGGGUGAGUAACACGUGAGCAAUCUGCCCUUGACUCUGGGAUAACUGCGUGAAACUGUAGCUAAUACCGGAUACGAGGCUUGGAGGCAGCUCCAGGUCUGGUAAGAAUUGCGGUCAAGGAUGAGCUCGCGGCCUAUCAGCUAGUUGGUGAGGUAAUGGCUCACCAAGGCGACGACGGGUAGCCGGCCUGAGAGGGUGACCGGCCACACUGGGACUGAGACACGGCCCAGACUCCUACGGGAGGCAGCAGUGGGGAAUAUUGCACAAUGGGCGAAAGCCUGAUGCAGCAACGCCGCGUGAGGGAUGAAGGCCUUCGGGUUGUAAACCUCUUUUAGUAGGGAAGAAGCGAAAGUGACGGUACCUACAGAAAAAGCACCGGCUAACUACGUGCCAGCAGCCGCAGUAA